GGAGUGGGUCGGACGGUCGCUUGCUCAUCGCCCUCCGGGGCGCUGGGCAAGAGGAAAGUCCGAACACCACAGGGCAGCGGGCUGGGUAACACCCAGGCAGGUGGGCUCGCGGGAGGUCGGUGCGAUGAGCGCGUCCUUCCCAGAGCGCGCCUGACGACAAGUGCAACAGAGAGCAGACCAGCCGUGCCAGAGGGCUCGCUCCCUCGCCAUGAGCACGGUGAUGGGUGAAACGGUGGGGUAAGAGCCCACCAGCGGGCGUGGUGACACGCUCGGCUAGGCAAACUCCCCGCGGUGCAAGACCAAAUAGGGAGGCGGUAACAGGGUGGCCCGUCCGAGCAUCGCUGGUCUCCCUGAAGAGGUCAGCGAUCCCGUCUCCGGGUAGGUCGCUCGAGCCGUUGAGUAAUCGACGGCCUAGAUGAAUGACCGUCCUCCGCUCUCUGCGGAGACAGAAUUCGGCUUACAGACCUGCUCCAAGC
rnacentral:RNase_P_RNA from 1 species